CACGGGGUCUGUACUUCCUGCUGACACCUGUAGAUCCGUCAGUUCUUCGUGAAGUUAACUGUCUCCUCUUGGGAGCAAUUUCAAUGCCUUCAUGUAUCCUCAAAACACAGGAGGAGCGUGGGAGGCCCGAAGAGCAGCGAGCGAAUAAACACACCGUUCGCACACAGACCGCCGCGCCUGGGUCCUCCUUCCCUACACCCCCCACGGUCUGCCAACACAGACCGUGACAGAAUGAUCCCGCCAAGCAUGGACCCAGCGGUCUCUGAGGAGAGGCUCAGGAGGGAGGAUUUGGAAUCCAGCUGCUGGUUUACAUGAUCCA